rnacentral:rRNA from 1 species
UAACGGGGAAUUAGGGUUCGAUUCCGGAGAGGGAGCCUGAGAAACGGCUACCACAUCUAAGGAAGGCAGCAGGCGCGCAAAUUACCCAAUCCUAAUACAGGGAGGUAGUGACAAGAAAUAACAAUACAGGACUUUUUGGUUUUGUAAUUGGAAUGAGUUAAGUAUAAACCCCUUUACAAGUAUCAAUUGGAGGGCAAGUCUGGUGCCAGCAGCCGCGGUAAUUCCAGCUCCAAUAGCGUAUAUUAAAGUUGUUGCAGUUAAAAAGCUCGUAGUUGGAUUUCUGUUAAUAAUUUAUAUAAAAUAUUUUGAUGAAUAUUUAUAUAAUAUUAACAUAAUUCAUAUUACUAUAUAUUUUAGUAUAUGAAAUUUUACUUUGAGAA